rnacentral:rRNA from 1 species
ACGUAGGCCCCGAGCGUUAUCCGGAAUUAUUGGGCGUAAAGAGCGUGUAGGUGGCGCUACAAGUCGGUCGUUAAAUCUCACCGCCCAACGGUGAGGCCGCGAGCGAUACUGUAGUGCUUGAGUCUUACAGGGGUGAGCAGAAUUCUUGGAGUAGGGGUGAAAUCCGUUGAUACCAAGAGGAAUACCAAUGGCGAAGGCAGCUCACUGGGUAAGUACUGACACUGAGACGCGAAAGCGUGGGGAGCGAACGG